rnacentral:tRNA from 1 species
UCCAUGGAGGACUAGUGGUUAGGCCACAGCACUCUCACCGCUGCAGCCCGGGUUUGAUUCCUGGCCAGGGAA